GAAAUUAUGGGGAACGAACCCAUACAAUUUUGGGGAAGGAAAAUGCAAUUAGCAUUACAAAGACGAAAACCCAUAAAAAGAAGCUAGUUUUUUGAAAUUAAUAGUUCAAGAACUCAAUUUUGUAAGGGAUAAAAAUUUCAAACAUACAAAAUGGGAAAAGUUAUAGAUACUCAGACAUGUGAACACAUAUACAGAGAGAUAUAAAGGGAGGGAAAGGAAAAGGAGCAACAACGAUGUGGAGGGCAUAGAUAGUGUUGAUCUUGAAAUUGAAGGUGAGAUGAAAAGAAUUUGAAUAUAUAUCAUCAAAACCCUAUCUCUAUGACUCUCUCUCUGCUCCGUUUUUUGCCCCAAUUUGAGAGAGAGAAAAAAGGAGGCAGCAGCUUU
rnacentral:lncRNA from 1 species